rnacentral:misc_RNA from 1 species
GCUCCUAGUAAUACCCCUAAGUCGUGGGGUUGAGCACGCGAGCUUGCUUCGGCGGACGAUUUUCGUCGUGAUGGUUCUAUUCCAUGGUUCGUUUGGACCUGGAAUAUGGCAUUGCGAUAGACCGCCAGAGCACCUCCCCUUGGGUCCCCCGGAUGCUUUCGACAAUCUCGAACGCAUCGUCUGGGUGUGGCUGGAGGGCAACCUCGAAAACCCAAACAAAAUCAUGCAACCCCUUGUAUUUACCCGAUCGUCCUGAUCGUAUUGAAAACCGUGGCUAUCACAGCCUCCGUUUCGAAAUCAAACUGAAAAACUCUCAACAACGGAUAUCUUGGCUCUUGCAACGAUGAAGAACGCAGCGAAAUGCGAUACGUAGUGUGAAUUGCAGAAUUCCGUGAAUCAUCGAAUGUUUGAACGCAAAUUGCGCCCGAGGCUUCGGCCGAGGGCAUGUCUGCUUGAGCGCCGCUGGACACCCCUCGUCCCAACUUCUCGUCGUCACUAUGUGGGUGAUGAGAUGAGGACGGAUUGAUGGUCGC